GAUGAACGCUAGCUACAGGCUUAACACAUGCAAGUCGAGGGGAAACGACAUCGAAAGCUUGCUUUUGAUGGGCGUCGACCGGCGCACGGGUGAGUAACGCGUAUCCAACCUGCCCACCACUUGGGGAUAACUUUGCGAAAGUAAGACUAAUACCCAAUGACGUCUCUAGAAGACAUCUGAAAGAGAUUAAAGAUUUAUCGGUGAUGGAUGGGGAUGCGUCUGAUUAGCUUGUUGGCGGGGUAACGGCCCACCAAGGCGACGAUCAGUAGGGGUUAUGAGAGGAAGGUCCCCCACAUUGGAACUGAGACACGGUCCAAACUCCUACGGGAGGCAGCAGUGAGGAAUAUUGGUCAAUGGACGAGAGUCUGAACCAGCCAAGUAGCGUGCAGGAUGACGGCCCUAUGGGUUGUAAACUGCUUUUAUAAGGGAAUAAAGUGAGAGUCGUGACUCUUUUCGCAUGUACCUUAUGAAUAAGGACCGGCUAAUUCCGUGCCAGCCGCCGCGGUAA
rnacentral:rRNA from 1 species